CAGCCAGCCGGUGAUUUCUGGAGUGGCAUCAUCAAGAUUCACACACUGCAUGCCAACAUAAUGCGCGUGUUCAUGCAUCCAUCGCCGCCGCUGCAUCAUGCAUCAUAUAUAAUAUAUAUAUAUGUGUAUGUGUGGGAAUCUUGAUGAUGCUGCAUUGGAUAUCAAGGGCUAUAU